rnacentral:rRNA from 1 species
GUCUACAUUAGAUACCCGCGUAGUCCCAGCCGUAAACUAUGCGCGUUAGGUGUAUCGGUGACCACGAGUUACCGAGGUGCCGAAGGGAAACCGUGAAACGUGCCGCCUGGGAAGUACGGUCGCAAGGCUGAAACUUAAAGGAAUUGGCGGGGGAGCACCACAACAGGUGGAGCCUGCGGUUUAAUUGGACUCAACGCCGGGAAGCUCACCGGAUAGGACAGCAGAAUGAUUGCCGGGCUGAAGACCCUGCAUGACUAGCUG